GCUGGUGGCGAUGCGCUUAGGGGACACACCCGUUCCCAUCCCGAACACGAUGGUUAAGACCUAAGCGGCCGAUGGUACUGCACUGGAGACGGUGUGGGAGAGCAGGUG
rnacentral:rRNA from 2 species